rnacentral:rRNA from 1 species
GACGAACGCUGGCGGCGUGCUUAACACAUGCAAGUCGAACGAAGAGCGAUGGAAGCUUGCUUCUAUCAAUCUUAGUGGCGAACGGGUGAGUAACGCGUAAUCAACCUGCCCUUCAGAGGGGGACAACAGUUGGAAACGACUGCUAAUACCGCAUACGAUCUAAUCUCGGCAUCGAGGAUAGAUGAAAGGUGGCCUCUACAUGUAAGCUAUCACUGAAGGAGGGGAUUGCGUCUGAUUAGCUAGUUGGAGGGGUAACGGCCCACCAAGGCGAUGAUCAGUAGCCGGUCUGAGAGGAUGAACGGCCACAUUCGGACUGAGACACGGCCCAGACUCCUACGGGAGGCAGCAGUGGGGAAUCUUCCGCAAUGGACGAAAGUCUGACGGAGCAACGCCGCGUGAGUGAUGACGGCCUUCGGGUUGUAAAGCUCUGUUAAUCGGGACGAAAGGCCUUCUUGCGAAUAGUGAGAAGGAUUGACGGUACCGGAAUAGAAAGCCACGGCUAACUACGUG